rnacentral:lncRNA from 1 species
CGAUGUAUAACUGAUGACAUACUGUGAAGUGUAUUUAAGUUAUUUUAUGGGACCUAAUUGACAGAAGAGAACAAACUAACGUGCUUGGACGAACAAUCACAGAAAACAGGGGGACCCAAAUCUCAUAAUGAAGAAAAAAAAAAAAACAUGAUCAAAACUACGUCUACGUGUGGUCGUGUGAGAAGUAGGGAGUGAGAUCACAAAUCGAAUUGAAAACUUGGCAUAAAAGUUAUCAACGAAAAGGAAAUUACAGCAACAAUAUAAGAAGAGUAAGCUUUGAGUCAAGACGGAGACAGAGAAAGCAAAGCCAGAUUCCAAAGUUGGUGAGGUGUACGCAUCCCUUUUGGGUGGCGACUAUUGCCUCUUCCCUCCCCCCUCCAACUCCCUUUCUCACUUUACAUAUCACAAACACAUUCUUCAUUCCUCUCCAAAUCUAAAUCACCAAGUAAAAAAUAAUAAAUAAAUAAAAAAGAAUGUCCGACAGAGUCUUCCCGUCUUCAAAACCCGCCGCGAACGGCAACGGCACCGUCUCUGCCGCCGCGCCUCCCCCCGUAAAGCCCCCACUCCGCCCGCCGUACCGUCCCCAGCCCCACGCACGCCGCCACCACCACCGGCCCCGCCGCAGCUACUGCUGCUGCUGCUGCUUCUGGACCAUUCUCGUAAUUCUCAUCCUCGCUCUACUCGCCGCCAUCGCCGCCACCGCUCUUUACGUCCUCUACCGGCCCCAUCGCCCCGAAUUCUCCGUCCCCUCCCUCCGGCUUCACCGCCUCAACCUCACCUCCUCCGCCGACUCAUCGACCAACCACGUCGCCACUCUCUUGAACUUCACCGUCACUUCGAAGAACCCAAACUCCCACAUCACUUUCUACUACGACCCGUUCGUUAUUUCUGCCUUGUCCUCGAGUGACGUAUUCCUCGGAAAUGGGACUGUGCCUGGUUUCUUUUCGGACAAAAAGAACCAGACCUUUCUCAAAAACGCGGUCGUCUCGGGAUCCAUUGAUCUUGACACGGAUUCGGUGAAGUCAUUGAAGUCGGAUCUGAAGAAAAAGAGUGGGGUUUCCUUAAAAAUAAAGCUGGACACGAAGGUGAAAGUGAAAGUGGGGAAGCUCAGCAGCAAGAAGGUGGGCAUUAGGGUUACGUGUGAAGGUUUUAGAGCGGCAUUACCAAAAGGUAAGUCACCGUCGGUGGCUACCGUUGAUAAGUCUAAGUGUAAGGUCGAUCUUCGGAUCAAGAUCUGGAAAUUUACUUUUUAGUUUUUCUUCUUUCUUUCUUUUUCUUUUUCUUUUUUAAAAUUUAAUUCAGCUGUUUGUUCCCCCACACACAAACCCCAACCCCCCCUUCUUCUUUCCCUUUUUUUUGGGUUAUAUUUUUGAGAGUUUGUUAACUGUUUAUUCUGAUGAAGAUGAACAUGAAAGGUGAAUUAUGGAGUUGAGAAAUUGGAAAUUGAUAAUGUGAGUAGAGAGAGUGAAAGAGGAGAAAGGUGUUAAAUUUAGAAUUUUAUCCCAAAAAUCUGCCUUUUUUUUUUUUUUUUUUAAGUGUUGUAAGUGAAUUUGGUUGAUAUAUAUAUAAUUGGUUCAUUGAGAAUUGAAUUAUGAGAGUAUUACUUUUGUUAAUUUACAUGGUCUAUAGCAUAAUUAUGCAAAAGCAUAAUUCAAUGAAUUCGAUGUUAAUUGUACUAACGCAUUUGACGAAGUGCUGUGCUUGUGAAAGCGGCGGGCAUUUAUACUUUUAUGGGGUUGUUGAUCAUUCAGGAAAGAUGAUAUGAUGACUUCUCAGGAUUGUUGAUGAAUUUAGAGAGUGGGUAACCUGAAGGGUCCGUUUUGCCAGUUUUGAGUUGCAUUUUUCAAGUCUUGUUAGUAAUAAAAAAUAAAAAAUUGAGAAUUUUAGUAAAUAAUUUGGAUAUGGAGUUAAAAGUUUUGAAGAAGAGAUGACCAACAAUUUAAUUUGGUUUGAGUCUCAUUGUUGGUCAUGGGAACCAAUUAGAGCAAGACCCCGUGGGUGGCUGCCCACCUUCCAGCUCAUGGUACGCACGAUUGCAUUUAAGAUAUGAAAUUUGUAGGCCUGUUCAGCUAUCACAUUGUAGUAGUUGUAGUAGUAGUAGCAGUAGAUCUGAUGGGGGGGAAGCGGCAUUGAAUUGAUUGAAAAAUGAGGUGUGAGUUGAAAUCUUAAUUUAUUUCUGUGCCUAUCACAUUUGAGUUUAGUGGUGACCAGGGAACGAUAGAAAAUAAUAGUGUAAUAAGAAUGAAAUCUUGACUUUAUAAAUGAUAUGAAAGCUUUGGUUUUUCCUGUAAGUUGAUUAAUGGGGGGGGGGGGUCGUCCCGUCCACAUCCAUUAAAGUGGUCUUCGUCCGUCGCGUGCAUCUGAAUCUGAUCUCACUUCCGUUCCACCAACCAUGCUACAAAUUAAUCAUCUUUUACUCCGCUUAAUUUACUAUACUACUACGCUUUGGAAGAUAGAUUGAUUGAGAAAGAAGAAAUGCCAAAAAAAAAGAAAAUGAACUACUUGGCAAGCAAUGGAUAAAGCCAUAAAGGAGAGCAUUGCAUUCAAAAGUGAACCUCCCGAUAUCAUGAUAAAUAGGGAGCGAAGUACACGAACAUGAACAUGAACAUUGUUUGUCGUCUCUCGUGGUGUGACGAUGUGGAGAAAAGCCGAAAGGUAAAAGUGGAGUUAAAUUCGGAUGCACGUGCUUUGUGUGCGUACGUGGUCUGCUCGGACAGGGGCAGUUAGAAUUUUGUCAGUGCCCACUCCCCACUGCCCAUCUGGCUCCUUUUCUUUGCACCGACUUUUAUUUUUAUUGAGGAGAUAAAGAAUCAAAGGAGACGGACAAGAGGAGCCUCUUCUUCUUUUUUUAAUUUCUCUUUGAUUAAAACGAUGAAAAAAAUUAUUAAUAAAAUGUGAAAAAUUGGACAUAAAAGUGAAUUUUAAAAAAAUUAGUGCACCUCAAUACUGAAAAAAACCUGAAUAUAGCGGGACUUGGCUUGUAAAUUCUGUACCAGUCUUAGUAUCACCGCCUACACAACUCUCCAACCCAUACUCUCUUAGUACUUCAUACGCAAUUCUCUUUUUUCUGCAUCACCACCGACACAUUUCACCAAUUGUUCACGACAAAUGAUAACCUGAAGCCUCCAAUCCAAGCAAUGAUAGGCUACGUCUUAUUCUUUCAUCAACACCAGCGCGUACCAUGACCAAACUUGGAUACCAAUCAAAAUGAAGUUAUUGGAUCCGCUUGUCAAACAGGUACAAACAAUUCCUGCAGCAAAAAAUUAUAACGCUUUCACACCAUACGUCUAGUGUCUACAUCCGUAGAACUGGCGGCUGCUCGAAGAGGAUCCAUUGUCGUUCGUUGCAUUUGCCUUCCGAAAUAAUUAAUUAAGGCAAUCUUGUACGCUUACGCAUAAUCGCUUACCGCGUGUGCACGAGCUCAGGCUGCUGCUGUUGAUUUGUUAAAAGCUGUAUUUCGGCAAUUAAAGGUGUGUUUGGGAGUGAAGGUGUUAUAGUUUUUAAGCUGCAGUUGUUGUGGAGGAAAAGAUACCGUCGUGGAAUAAAAAUUGUAAAAAUAAUUUUGUUAAGCUGCCAAAGUUCAGUUACAAAUAUUACAAAACAGUUUAGUAACUGAACUUUGACGGUCCAACUAUUUCACCACACUCUUAAACGGGUUAUAAGUUACCCAACUAAAAACACUUAUAAUCCCUCCCACACGAUCUCUGGUGCGAGCUUCGGCUUCAAUCUCGAUAUAUAGACACUUCAAAUAUCUAUUUCUUAAUUUCUUGAGGUUCAAUGUUGGAUAUGUAAUCAGUGCCUCUAUUCUCUUCCAUAUAUAAGUCUUUGAUGAUCUUCUCCCAGUAUUUUUCUUCAUUUAUAGUAACGUUAUGUCAACCAUAUCAAAUGCAACGAAUCACAUACCACAUUUUCUUUGAUGCAAUACUAAAAACGUGUAACAUACAUAACAUCACCCUAACAAACAUGCAAUUAACUUUAAUUUAAUGUGAUUAACAGAUAUGUUAAAACUUGAUAUCAAAAUGCCUGCAGCAUAAUAGUCACAGUAAGGGAAAUAUGAGGUUCAAGUUUUAACAGGAUGCGAUAGUUGCAAUCAUGAUAACAGCAUGCGAGUAACUUUUUUAGUUAUCAUUAUAACUCUUAUUCCCUCUGUAUUGUAAAUAUUAUGAGAAAAGAUAAUAGUACGCCUGUAAUUUGGCGAAACCAUAACAAAAAUCCAUUUUAUUUUCAUUAGUGAUCAUGUGUAGCUCUUUGUGGACAACUAUGCCUUUUGAGUACUGACCCAAGUGUAUUCAUGUGGACACAAUCGUCCAAAAAAAGAUUUGUGUGGUAAUUUUUUAGUUAGUCCCGUAAAUUUAUUUUCUUAAUACCAUUUUAUAGUAAUAGUACAAAUAAAUAACAGUAAUAAUAAUAAUAAUAACAACAACAUUAAACAGAUAAAUAACAGUAACAAUAAAUAACCUUUUGUUGUAUGUUUGUACAUUUUUAUUAAAACAUCAUUAAACAGAUACAUUAUUUUACACAAGGUUUGAUUAAACAUCUUUUUUUUUUGCAAAUUAAUAUAACUGAAAAUAAAUAAAAAUGUAUAUUAAGCUAUCCGGAUCUGCAAUGCUUCAUUUUCUUAUCUUUCAUUCGGUGAAACAGUAUAAAUUCUAAGGUGAAUCUUGCAAAAGAAAUCUGAAAAUAGGGAAAAGAUAGUUCUGUAUCAGCCACUCGCCGGAAAAUAUUAGUUAUAACUUCUGUUCUGUGCUCAUAUAUUUCCAUGACAGGUUGUAAGUUUGUACCCAUCUAUUAAACUGCUAACAAGUUUUUUUUUUUUUUCCAAAUCUAUUUUGUUUUGUAAAAGGUAAGGGGUGGAGGUGGACAAAUAGAAUGUAAGAUUUUCUGUAGUACUUUGAGGAUAACAAUGAAAUGAAGAAAGAAAAUUUAAAAAAAAAAAUUAACAACGCAGUCCAAGUAUCUCUGCCUGCCUGGAGUCCAUUUGGUAUUUUGCUAAUGCUUAGCUUGUGGGACCAUUCAGAUAGCGUAACAUUCAAUUUAACAGGUAAAGACAAUGUUGUCUCCUUCAGUUCUAACUGGAAAUCUCUUCUUCUUAGUUGUUCUUUGAAAGCUCAACCCUCAAAACCCCUCAUGUCCGUCAUUCACCCAAACACGGUUGACAUUUGAAACCGACUGCUGCGUGUGAUGUGUUAAAAAAGCUUGUCUUACUUUAUAGCCCGCAAUCCUACUAUUAUGGUGUCCGCUUACAAGUAAUUGGAAUAAGAAUUCUAGAAUCGAAAUUAAUAAUGCGUUUAUAUAAAUUUAAAGUUUUGAAUCAGAAUGAAAUUUAUUCGGGUUAUAUAAAUUUAAAAAUUAUUAUUGGGGUGCUUAUUCUCAAAAUCCUACUCUUAUAGAUUGACAAAAAUACUCCCAUCUAAAUUUUUAAAUUCUACUUUCUCCUCGUUAGUUCACGAAAAUAUAAUAAAGAGAAAAGGACACAGAGACCCCUAAUAUUUGAAUAAGGGACACAGAGACCCCUAACGUUUGAAAAAGGGACACAAAACCCCCUAAGGUUUCAAAAAAGACACUCAGACCCCCAUUUGUUAACAUAAAUUAUAAUUUUAAAGUGUAAUUAUCAUUAUACCCUUAUAGCAUAUUAAAAAAUAAUUGUUCAUUGUCCAAUUUAUUCGUAUAUUAUUAAUAAAAUUACGAAUAUAACUUCAUUAUCCAAUUUUUUCAUUUAAUUUUUGUCAAAUUUUCUCUUCAACUAAAUAAAUUUAAUUCAUUGCUCAAGAAUAAAAAUAAAUUAAAUUGAUUACUAAUAUAAUAAAAAUAACAAUUCUCAAUAACAAUUCUUCAUUUAAACUUAUAUAAUCAACAAAAUAAAAAAAAAUUGGUUACAACAAUAAUUACAAAAUUUUAAUUGUACUAAAUAAAAUGGAAAAAUUGGGUAAUGAAGUUAUAUUCAUAAUUUUAUUAAUAAUAUAGAAAUAAAUUGGACAAUGAACAAUUAUUUUUUAAUAUGCUAUAAGGGUAUAAUGGUAAUUGCACUUUAAAAUUAUAAUUUCUGUUAAUAAAUAAGGGUCUUAGUGUCUUUUUUGAAACCUUAGGAGGUUUUGUGUCCCUUUUUCAAACGUUAGGGAUCUCUGUGUCCCUUAUUCAAACAUUAAGGGUCUCUGUAUCCUUUUCCCUAUAAUAAAAAAAUUACAAAAAUCGUUUUCGUUUUCAUUCAUUUUCAUUCUAAAUCAUUUUAAUUACUAAUUAAUGAAUACGCGGUUAAACCGGCGUGUACACACACGAUCCCCUAACACGCUAUGAUAAAUUGCCACGUGUAACAAACGUUCCCUUUACCCUCAGUUCAGUUGCACAAGCACAACGGCUACUUAGCCGGUAAGCCACUGCCUCCUCUUCACUUUCGCUUGCUUGCUUCUCGUGAGUCUGUGUCGUGCGAGAAAAUUUCCAAAGCAAAAAUGUUGGCAAGUCGAAUUUUCUUUUUCUUCUUCUUUUGCUUCUUCUCUCUUUGUUUGUCGAACUCCCCAUACUCUGAUAUCAGCACCUUACUGUCCUUCAAAGCUUCUGUAACGGGCUCUAGUGACUCUCUUUCUAGCUGGGUCAACUCCACCGACCCAUGUUUUGACUCAUGGGGGGGUGUUACCUGCAAUCCUUCUACUCACCGAGUCAUUAAACUAGUUCUGGAGGAUUUGGACCUCACUGGUGCAGCUGAAGUUCUGAGUCGACUUACCGAACUCAGACUCCUCAGUCUCAAGAACAACCUACUUUCGUCCUCAAACUUGAACCUCUCUUCAUGGCCUCAUUUAAAGCACCUCUACCUCUCUCACAACAGGUUCACCGGAACAUUCCCUUCUGGGGUAUCCAGUCUCCGCCACCUCCGGCGAGUCGACUUGUCCCACAAUGCUUUCGAAGGUGAGAUUCCGAUGGCUGAGUUGACUCGUCUGCCGAAUUUGUUGACUCUGCGACUCGAGGACAACCGCUUUACUGGAACCCUCUACUCACUCAACUCGUCUUCUCAGUCUAUUUUGGAUUUUAACGUUUCGAAUAACCAACUCUCUGGCCAGAUUCCCGCGUGGAUGUCACGUUUUGGAGGGAGUUCGUUCGCAAGAAACAAAAAUCUCUGCGGCCGACCGUUGCCGUCGGAUUGCUCCAAUCGGACGGUCGAGCCUGAGCAGCCACCGCGUUCAAGAUCUAGGAGCUCGAGAGUAGUAACGGUGAUAGUGAUCGUUAUAUUCGACGCGGUGGCGAUAUUAGUGGCGGUCGUGACAGUCACGUGGUGCUGUUAUAGGAGAAAAAGGAGGAGCCUGAGGAAUGGUGGUGGUGGGGUCCACAAAGAAGUUGUAACGAAACGUGGGAACCGCAAGGGUGAUUACGGUGGGGCCAGCGAUGGAGGCGAUGUGGAGGAGAUGGUAAUGUUUGAGGGGUGUAACAAGGGUUUUAGGAAUGUUGGUGAUUUGCUAAAAUCAUCCGCUGAAUUGUUGGGAAAAGGGUGUGUGGGGCCCACUUACAAGGUCGUGUUGGACUGCGGCGACGUGGUCGCUGUGAAGAGGAUCAGAGAAAGGAAGAAGAAGAGAGAAGUUGAUGAGUGGCUUGGAGUGAUUGGUGGGUUAAGACACAGUAAUAUAGUGAGCAUCAGAGCAUACUGUAACGGCAAGGAUGAGUUAUUUUUGGUCUAUGAUUAUUUGCCACAUGGAAGCCUGCAUUCACUAUUGCAUGGUACGUGCUCGAUUAAUGUUCUUAAUGAAAUUCCUCUUCUUUCAACAUUGUUUUGAUGUACAUAUUUACAUUGACUGCAGGGUCUAGAGGACCAGGGAGGAUGCCGGUGGACUGGAAUAAAAGGUUAAAGCUGGCUUCUGAUUCCGCAAAAGGCCUAGCAUUUCUUCAUGGGUACAACAAAGUUCAUCUCUUUCAUGGGCAUCUGUCAUCGUCUAACAUUGUAGUUGAUCAAUCGGGCAAUGCUUGCAUUUCUGACAUUGGUGUCCACCAACUUUUCCAUACACCCUUUUUCAUAAAUGAUGCCUACAAUGCACCAGAACUAAAAUUUAACAACAAUUAUAGUCAAAGAAAAUUUUGGCAAAGGUGCGAUGUUUACAGUUUCGGCGUGGUUUUGCUGGAGAUUUUGACUGGGAAGAUGGCAAAGGGGGAUGGAGAAUUGGGCAUUGUGAAGUGGGUUCAAAUGAUGGGGCAAGACGAGAGCGCUUGGGAGGUGUUUGAUUUUGAGUUGAUAAUGGACAAAGAGAUGGAGGAAGAGAUGAGGGCCCUUUUGCAAGUGGCUUUGCUUUGUUUGGCUCCAUUGCCAAAAGAUCGUCCAAAUAUGAGCAUCGUGCAUAGGAUGAUUGAAGAUAUCAGGACCAAGGGUUCAAUCGAUGGCUGCGCAAACUCAAUCAUGAAUAAUAUUUCUUCUGAUUCUUCGCCUUCUCAGUCCGAAAACACUUAUAACUUCACUAACAGUUGAUCGAUAAAUGAAAUGAAGCGUUCCUGGAUGAUGGAUUGUUCUAUAACCAGAAAAAAAUAAAAAAAUGGCAACAAGUUUACUGUUAUAGUUAGGGUAAUUCUUUGUAAUCAUCUGAAUGUACAAGUAUGGAUGCGUUACAGAUAUUAAAGCUCUAUCUCUUGUAUAAUUAAAUUCAUUUCUUUAAUAUCAAUUGAAUAUCAUUUUUAGUGUACUUAUAUAUAAUAAUCGGAUGCCUCAUAUUAAUUAUUGUUUUAUGGGUCAGAGCUUUCAAAUAAGCCUUUCAGAGUCCCAAAACACUUGGCGAACACGAGAACUCCAAAUAGCAGGCUUGUUAUAUUAGCUGCAACGAACAAAGCAAAGUGCGAAUCAUCAUGCUCUAUUUCAUGUAUAAUUAAAUUAAUUAAUUACUACUUUAUGCUGUACUAUCAUCGGCCUGGAUAGCAACAUACCAGCGAAAUAAUUCUCCAAAAUUUUCCUGUAAUUAAAUUGGUCACAGUUGACGUAAAGAAUUGACUCAAAAUAACAAACAGAAUGACAGAAUUAUAGAAACAAAUCAUUGCAGUUUUAUUUCUGAUGACAUUUGGGUGUUUUUGUUGGAGAGGAUUUCGUCUUUCAAUUUAACAUUACAAGCUAGAUUAAAAAACAAACGGUUUGCACUUGAUAGAAACCUCCUACCGACAAUGAACAAGAAGCCUCUUUGUCUUCUUUGAACUAAAUUGCUUUGCAGUAUGUGUUUGUGAGAAAAGAAUCACUAAAAUUUGAAUACUUUGACUAGACUUCGUUGCCAUUAAGUGAUUAAUAUUUAAUAACGACACCUGUGGAAGAUGGCGUCAACGAAUAAGCUAAAGUUGAUUUUUGACAUUAAAUAACCAUAAAAUGCUACUUCCACUGGUUUUGAGUCUUCCGACAGCAAUGAAAUAAUAAACAUUCACGAUUGAAUCUACAGAAAAAGAAUCAAUGUCUUAUAAUGACACAUUAAGCUAUCAAAAAAGCAAACACAAUACUACCCAUGACGCUAAUACCUGAGCAGCCACAUUCUUGAGCACAAACAAGAGGAAAACAAGCAGGUAGUCGGUACAAACAAGCUGCAGCCUAAUCCAUGAAAAGCAAGAGCUGAUACCGUAGAAUGCAGCUCAGAUAAAUGAUCAUUUGAAGCCUCCAAGCAAUAACAAACUUAUUCUUCCAUCAACAACAAGAAAGGCCACCCUUGGAUAUCAAUCAAAAUGAAGUUAUUAGAGCCAUUCUGCAUCAAAACGUCAAACAGGUGCAAAUAACUGCAGCGGCAAAAACUUAGAAGAGGUCCAUCAUCCAUGAGUGUUAACAGCCUCCCACACCAGAUUCCUUGGAACUGGACGGGAGAGAUCUCGAGCCUGUAAGGCAGCAGCCCGAAGAGUCCCCAUUGUCAUUGCAUUGGACUUCCAAAAUGAGACAAUGUUGUACGGCAAAUUAUGCUUCUUACAGAGCUCCACAACAAAGGGUGAAACUUUCCUGAGAUUGCAUCGAGGCAAUCGAGGAAACAAAUGGUGCUCAACUUGAAACUGCAAUCCACCAUGAAACCAAUCCAUCCAAGAAGAGCACUUUAUAUUAAGUGUACCCUGAGUUUGCUUCCGAAACCAAUCAUUUGAACACGGUGGACCAACAUAUACAUUUGAUGAGAAAUGGUUCAAACAGAACUGAACAUGUUGGAUUCCAGUAACCGAAAAACUAGCCACAAUAAACAUCACUCUUUCCCCCCAAUUGGGUAAGCAGGAAAUAAGCAAUGGGUACCAAAUCCAAAACACAAGAAUUCCAAAAAUUUCCUGAACUCUAUUGCGCACAUUCUUCUUUGAGAGCAACAAUAGAAAUGAUUGUGCAAACAGAUUAAUUCUAGCAAAACACAUGACAGGGUAAAAAGUCCAAUGCUGGUAACUAACUAAGAAUCUAGCAACAGAAUCAAAAUGCAGUUUCCUCUCAUAAUAACACGAAGUUAUUGAAUUGAAGAAUUUGGAAGAUACCACAAAGAAAGGCAUGUGCUGAAGAUCCGGAUCGAAGUCAAGACUAUUACAAGCAAUGUGAUGGGCAUUGUGGUUCCGUUUCCACCACGCAAUACUGAUCCCUGCAAGACAAUUCCCAGUCAAAAUCUGCACUAUACGAUUAAUUCCUCGACUAGACAUGACCUGAUAGUGACCAGAGUCAUGCCCUAUCCAACCACUUUGGAUCCACAAUAACCCCAUUAAUCCACCAGAACAGAGAUGAACCCAUGUGCUAUCAGAGCAAAAAACACCAUAAAUACUAACAGCAAACAGCAUUGCCAUGAAGACAAAAGUAUACAACGCACAGUGUCCUUUCUUUUCAAACAAACCCAUCUUUGAAAACUCAGCCACAAGCUUUCUGUAAUCUUUUGAUGCUUCAGAGACAGUGUAGUCUUCGAGAUAGUACCCAGUAAAGAACUUAUCAAGAUACUGCCAGGCAGCGCCGGGAUGAUAAGCAACAAAAGCGUCAGUGACAUCUUGACCAGCAAGACUGAGCAACGGAAGGUCACCACCUGGGUGGUGUUUGGUCCAAUCAGUGACAUUGUAGACCUUGCCUUGUACAGAGAUCCAUAGAUCUCCAGGCUUGUUGUGGCCCUUGAGGUCUUGCUGUGAAAUGUGCUUCUUAGAAUCAACCAUUGGAUCAAGAAAAAGAAAGAGAGAUCUGAGAACAGAGCAGAAGGCUUCUCCCUCUAUAUCUCUUACUCUCUUUCUGCUGGUAUGUUGGUGUAUCGUACUGUUAUCUUUUGCGUUUGCUGUGUAUUGGCUAUUGGGUGAUGUUGUACGAGUGUUUGCUGCUUUUGGCCUGGCUCUUUGCUGAUUGGUUCGCCUUCCGAUGUUAUUUGUUGGAUUUAGGAAUAUACAAAUGUGACACAAGAGAAACGGUGGGUGGGGCCAGACAGCGAUGCAUUUUGAAGAGACACCACAGAACACUAUUGUAUUACUCAGAACACUGCAUCCAGCCCAACUUGGUAAGAAACAAAGAUGAUAACGAGAGGAAGAGAGAGAAACGACGACAAGGAGUGGCUGGUUUCAAUGACAAAAACGAAAAUGGAUUGGGAUCUCGCUGUAAAAAUAAUAAAAUUGAGGGAGUAAAUUGAAUUUACAAUAACUAUAUCAGAAACAACAUACAUUCUCUUAUAACAUAUUUGUCUUUCUUGUUCCUAUACAUAAAGAUUAAGAUAAAGAUGAGUCCUAAAUUUUGGGACACAAACUCCAAUGAAAAUAAUUUUUACUACCUGUUCAGUAGAGCCCGAGCAACUACGACCCAAUCGAGGAAAAUUUUCUUUUCUAUCCCUUUAAUUUUAUAAUUAUUCAUACAAUCUUAAAGUUUUUAUUUUAUUUUUAUGUAUGUCCCUAAUAAAACUCUAUUUUUUUCAAUUAGAAUUAGAGACUUAUUUUAUAAAACAAUUAAAUUAUAAAUUUAUUGAAUAAAAUAAAAUCAUUAGGGGGCUAAAUUAUUAUUAUUACUUCAAUGUCAAUAUAUUAUAAUGCCCUUAAUAUUAUGAAGUGACAAAAUGACAUCGUAAGAAUUAAUAACAUUUUCAUAAUUUCAUUGUUUAUUUUUUUCACAUUCUCUAUCACUAAAAUAAAAAUAAAUUUCAUAAAUAAUUUUUUUAAUGUACAAUUUUAUUGAUUUAUAUUAUAAGUUUUUUGUUGCAUUUUUGUCAUCCUUUCAUUAAAUAUAUGUAUUAAAAAUUUUUAUGUCGCAUUGCUCGAUUUAUAUGAUAUAUAUUAAUAUAUAGAGAGAGAGAGAGUCAUUCUCUAGUAUGUCAGUAAAAUACAAAAAGCACGGAUUUUAAUACAUUAAAAAUUGUAUAAAUUUCCAAUAAGAAAAAAAGAUAAAAAAAAAUUAUAAAUUUCAAUACAUUACAUAACAAAAUACACUACAUAAUCUAUUUUUUUUUUAAUUUACUUUUAAUAUGAUUAGGAAUCUCUGAUUGAAACGUUUCUAUUUAUAUUUGUAUGUUAUUUUUACUUCUUUAUAUAAACUAAUAUUUACACAGAUAUUUAUAAUAAAUUUACAAAUUAGUUCGGGGUAAAUGGUAAUAAAAGGGUUCAGUGUUCACCACCUGGCGACGAGUAACCCUUUUUUUUUUUUACAUUUCUUGUCGAAGGAAUCUUUUGCUUUCGAAAAGGAGGGGCAGACUGGAGAGUGGAAACCAACAACAACGACAUCUUUUCGACUAGUAGGAGGAGACUGUUAGCUAAAUAAAACUAAACUACUUCCAUAAAAAAAAAAAGGAAGAAAAAGGGGAAUUUAAUUUAAAAAAAAAAGUAAACUAAACGAAAAGCAUAGGAAACUGCAGGAAGCAAUAAAAGAUACAAAAGCUUUUGGGCAUUAUUUUUUUUGAGGAGAAGCUUUUGGCAUUAUUGAUAAAAGAGACGUUGGUUUUGAGUGCUUCCUCGAGUGUACUGGCGUCUAGCGAUAGGCAACGAUACAAAGAAGUUGGUUCAUUUUACGAAUAUGCCGCCUGCAGAUGCUAUUGUUUGAUCCCCACAACCCAAAAUAUUUACCUCCAUGCAAUUUUUUUUAAUUUAAAUUAUUAAUAUAUUAUCCAAUUCAGAAAUAAUAUAUAUUAUCAUUUUUAAAAUAAUAAUCCAGCGUGAAUUACUUUUGGGCUUUUCAAAUUAGAACUAAUCUUGGGCGCCCAAACUGGCUUCGGCAUGGGGUGCAUUGAUCCAGUCAAGUCACUGGGCCUUGCAGAAAGUUCCCAAACGGAAAGAUCAUUCCUUUCCCAGCAGCAGAAUCGGAUUCCGUCUCUCAAAGCGAAACUGCAAAAACACGAACAGUUUCGAGAAUUCAAUUUAAUACCCUUUUUAUCAUAAACCCCGGAAACAAAUUGAUCGGAGAGAACAGGCGUACGAUAACAUAAUUUACUGGAUGGCAGAGAAACCUCAACCAGUGCGUGUUCUGUAUUGUCCAAUAUGUUCUCUUCCUGCGGAGUACUGUGAAUUCGGUCCUGACUUUGAGAAAUGCAAACCUUGGUUGAUCAAAAACGCUCCUGAAUUAUACCCAGAUCUCCUUAAAGGUACUUAAAUUACGUACGCCUUUUUUUUUAAAAAAAAAAUCCCAUAUGUUUUUUUUUUUUAUUGGGGUGAUUAAAAAGAUUUUUUUUUUUUGAUUGUGUGAUUAAUGUUUUCAAAAGCAAAUGAAAAGGAGGCUGAGAAGGUCUCUGGGCAGCUUCAAUUAUUUGGUCUCUCUUCAGGCGGUGCUGAUGGAGCUACUUCUGGUAAGACUUCUUUUGUUAUACUUUUAAUUUUCGGACAACUGAAUGUUGUGUGAUGAGUGUUUUAUUGUUUGUCACGGUAAUUGAUUGAUUAACAAUUUCAGGGCAAACAUCAUCGUCUAAGCAAGAAGAAGUUAAACGUCUUCCUGGUGGAAAAAUAAAGAAGAAAGUAAGACUUGUUUUUUUUUUUAAUAGUAAAUCACUUGUUUUCAGUGGAUAUCCUUGAAGAGCUUGCUCAUUACCAGUAUUUAAAGUUUCAAAUGAAUGUCUGACUCUGAACAUGAUUGUUUAAAGUUUUGAUGGAUUUUUAGAUGUAAAAUGCUGUUUAAGACUUGAAACAUCGUUCUUUCUUAUUUCUACAAUCCUACCGGUAGAGGAUCAGCGUUGUAUGAAUCAUCAAAUGCAAUUGUUUGGUACUGCUGGUUAGUCUCUAUUUUAUGGGAUUGGAAUACCAUGUCUCAUCUUAAGCCAACUAUUCAAGCUUACAAAGAUCUAGCCUUAAUGCUACUACCUGUGAAAGUUGGAUUCAUUUUUGAAGUUUCUGACUGGAACUUCACUUAUUGAAUGAUUUAAGAGGUGGAAUCUGUUAUCGUUUUUCACACUACGAGCUUUUUUCCUAUCCUGCCCUCAUGCCAUGCAAGGGAAACUAUUAAGCGAAAAAGAUUUUAAUCCUGCAUGCUGGUGCAAAUCACUAAUGUUGAAUCGAGUAGAGCUUUGCUUUUAGUAUGUUUGCUACUUGCAAUGUAAAUGACGUUUGCCUGCAGCUUAGAUGCGCAACCAAUCACUCACACCUUCAACUUAAUUGAAAGCUUCUAGACUCAUCAGUGGGAAUCGCUUUGUUGAAAGUGUGAAUUUGUGAUCAAACUUAUACAAAGGCCCACAUAUGAUUGCUAGAUCUCAUUGAGGUUGUGAAGUGAGUUGGACCAGAGUUAGGAUUUUUAUUUUAUUUUUAAUGACAAUAUGGACGUGAGCGUGAAGAAGUUAUAAGAGGCCACAUGUUUGGUCACAUUGGAGUAGUCUUGUUGCCAUUCUUGAUACAGAUUAUUUCCUGUAGACCUUUUAUCUUUGUAAUUGGUUUUCAAUGUUCUGUUGCAUAGCUCAAAUCUUCUGAUGUGAUGACAAUUCAAAAUUUUUUAUUCACUAAUAGGAAAGACAAGAAGUUGUUAUUGAAAAAGUUGUACGCAACAAGCGCAAAUGUAUAACCAUUGUGAAGGGCCUGGACCUGUUUGGUAAGCCAUAUUUAAUUCAUCUCUUUGUAUACUAAUGUUUAAUAGCUCCGAUUUUUGUUAUUGUUGAAGUUACAAUUUAGUUUCUGGGGAUUGGCACUUGUGUCAGGUGUUAAACUUAGUGAUGCUUCUAAAAAGCUUGGGAAAAAGUUUGCCACUGGAGCAUCUGUUGUUAAGGUGUGUAAAUAUUACAAGUACCUACCAGCUUUUUUCAUCCUCAUAUUCAUAUUUUUCCUACAAUCUUCUAAUGACUUGAUACUUUUAGGGCCCAACUGAGAAAGAGCAAAUUGAUGUUCAAGGGGACAUAUCCUAUGACAUUGUGGAAUUCAUUACAGACACCUGGCCUGCUGUAAUUUCUUUAAGCAUUUUUUUUCCUUCUCUUGUGUCUUACAUAAAUGGUGCAUUUGGAAAACACUAAAAGAAGAUUUUGUCCCACUCUUUUAAUGUAUCUUUCUUCUGCUAGACAUCAGAAAGAUGAAAACACUACAAAUCCUAGAUACUUUAGCUCAAGGGCUAUGAAACUGAAACAAUUUUAGCCCAAUUUCUUGGAUGGUGUGAAGUUUUACCCUACAGACUUGAGUUCUUAAGGAAAAGGCCAUUGGGGAUUGUUAUGAGUGUUAUGAAUAUAUCAUGUUUUCGGUGAUAAUACUGACAUGUUAGAAGAUGUUAUUGUGUAAUUAACUCUAGGUUUGUAGUUAAUUUCUUCUCUGAAUAUGUAAUAAUCAUAUUUGGGACAUAUUUUAGAAAAUUUCACAUUGGUGUUGCAGAAGUUGAUGAAGUUUUAAAGUUUCUGAAACAGAAGUUGCUUAAAUUUGACCAGUGUUUCUUUAUCAAGUGCUUUAAUUACUGAUUUUGUUUGCAUGCAAUAAGUCAUCUCAUUACCAUCGACAAUUAUGCUCCAUAUCAUGUAAGCUAGGCAGUUCCCAAUCCAUUUGUUCAUUCCCUGCACUGAAUUUUGUGCAUCUUCUGUGACAUUUCAGGUGCCCGAAACUGCUAUAUAUUUCAUUGAAGACGGGAAAAAGGUUGCAGCCGCAUAAUGUUAGGAGCUUUUUCAAAAGGGUGGUAGUUUCAAUUUGACAAAAAGGAGCCUAUAAACUGCUCAUUUUUUUCUUGGCUGGAUUUUGUACAAAUGUACAAGGAAAGAAGUCCCUUGCAGCUGAGAUGGGAAAUUGUGUAUCAGUGAAGCUUAAAACUAUCAGUGGACCUCUAAUUAUGUUGUUGUUUUUUUUUAUGAAUUUCUUCUUUUAGUAUAUCUUGUUUCUUUUGUGAGCAAGCCUUGCCCUUGUUUGCCUUUUCUGGCCGGAGAGAAAUAUAUAAUGGUCUGGAGAUUUUGAAUGUCAAAAUUGGUCAAAGCGUAUGAAAAUGAUCUGACCAGAAAUCUGUAAACAUCAUUUUGUUUAUGAUACAGAUAGUAUUGAGAGCAUUUUUUAUUUUUUAUUUUUUUUACCUGAAAAAGUUUUCCAACGCUUGUGUCAAAAUUUCAUUGCAAUUUUCAUUUUCCAUUACAUCACAGGGCAGCUAUAGUUAUAGUGCUCACCAUGACAUCAAAAAUUGAUUACAAAAAAAUAAGGAAAAAAAAUCACACGUGUCUCAACACGGCCACAAGCUUACAGACAAAUGUCCCGAGCUAAUGGCCGCUAUAUAGAUAAAGCGAAUAUACGUUGGCUCUUGUCUCUUGUGAUUCCUCAAAUUUCAACGGAGUUCAGAAAAACCGAAACUCCUUCACUCACUCUUUCCCAGUCUCCAAUAUUCUCAAGUUUCAAGUUUGCUUCUCUACAGGUAAUAGUGAACGCUCUUGUCUUACUUUUAUUUUCUUUUUGGCAACUUUUCUUCUGAUUUUAUUAUCUCUUACGAGUUAGGACGGAGAUUGUGUUGAUGAAGCCGCCGCCUUUCACCUUGAACUCUCCGGUAACUCUCGGUGUGAGUUGUCGGAGUAUCCGAGAAUUGUCCGUUUGACCAAUUUAAUUCUUUUAAAUUUUAAUUUUAUUCUGGAAAUAUUCAUGUUGUGCUUACUCAGUACAAGUGUACUAUUAUUGCACUGCACAUUGAUCAAUUUAAGCUAUGGCAGCAGUAAUUGUCUUUAUCGCAUUCUUCUGCUCAAAGAUUUCGCAUUUACACUCUUUCUCCCUGUCUCCGUAUCUGCUUUCUCGUACUUGGUGGAAUCCUGUUGUUAUAUGCUCUUAGUCAAUAGCUGGAAACUGAAUUUACUUAGAUGUGUUGAUAUCUGCAGGUGUAUGUGCAUAUUGUUGAGUUGAACCAGAGAUUCAGAAUAACAUGGCACAUUUGCUUUCGACUUCAUGCUCUUUGAACAUUGCUUCUUGCCGCAAACCUUCUUUCCAGCAAUUGAACCAAGGCUUAAUUGGCUUGCCUACCUCUUUUACUGUUGAAACAUCCAAAUCUCCAGUUCGGAGGGUUAUCUUGCCAGCACAAAGGGCUCAGAGAUGUCACACUGUUUAUGCAACCGCCACCCCCUUUACCCCGACUCAGUCACGCUCUGGUUUGCAUCAGUCCUCCAAUGAUCCGUCCAAGGCAAAGCGGGUCAUGAUCAUCGGUGGAGAUGGAUAUUGUGGUUGGGCUACUGCACUCCACCUAUCCAACAAAGGCUAUGAGGUAGCUAUUGUUGACAGUCUUAUCCGUCGUCUCUUUGACCACCAACUCGGUCUUGAUUCCUUGACCCCUAUUGCCUCCAUCCAUGAUAGACUCCGCUGUUGGAAAUCUCUUACUGGAAAACAUAUUGAACUCUACAUUGGUGAUAUUUGUGACUUUGAAUUCUUAUCAGAAAGCUUCAAGUCAUUUGAACCUGAUGCUGUUGUCCAUUUUGGGGAGCAGCGCUCUGCCCCUUAUUCAAUGAUUGAUCGGUCAAGAGCUGUGUUCACUCAGCAUAAUAAUGUAAUUGGAACACUAAAUGUCCUCUUCGCUAUGAAGGAAUUCAGACAGGAGUGUCAUUUGGUGAAACUUGGGACAAUGGGAGAAUAUGGAACCCCAAAUAUUGAUAUUGAGGAGGGUUAUAUAACGAUUACUCAUAACGGAAGAACAGAUACUUUACCUUAUCCCAAGCAAGCCAGCUCUUUCUACCAUCUGAGUAAGGUUCAUGACUCGCAUAAUAUAGCCUUUACUUGCAAGGCCUGGGGAAUCAGAGCAACUGAUCUGAAUCAAGGAGUGGUUUAUGGAGUGAGAACAGAUGAGACUGCCAUGCAUGAAGAACUCUGUAAUAGGUUAGAUUAUGAUGGGGUGUUUGGGACUGCAUUGAAUCGGUUUUGUGUUCAAGCUGCUGUCGGUCAUCCGCUUACAGUGUAUGGAAAAGGAGGCCAGGUAUGGCCUUAUCUUAUAGUUCACUGCCUUGCAUAUACGUCAUUUCCAUAAGUAGAUAUGAUACUUAAAUCAUGUUUUCCAUGAAAGAACAUGAUUUUCCUUGAGAGAGAUUGAUCAUCAUAUUCAUUUGUUUCUUACCCCCCCCCCCCCCCCCCCCCUUGUUGCACAUGGUUUUUCUUUUGUUCUGCUACUACAUAAGUAAGUGCUUUUACUAACUGUAUAUAUUUUUUACGCUUCAGACUAGAGGUUACCUUGACAUAAGAGAUACAGUUCAGUGUGUUGAACUUGCAAUUGCAAACCCAGCACAGCCCGGUGAAUUUCGGGUCUUUAAUCAGUUCACGGAGCAGUUUUCUGUCAAUCAACUUGCUGCCCUAGUUACAAAAGCAGGAGAGAAGCUUGGGCUUGACGUAAAAACCAUAUCUGUUCCCAACCCACGAGUAGAAGCAGAGGAACAUUAUUACAAUGCAAAGCACACAAAACUCAUUGAGCUGGGACUCCAACCACACGUUCUUUCGGACUCACUUCUUGACUCGUUGCUCAACUUUGCCAUUCAGUUCAAGGAUCGUGUUGACUCAAAACAGAUUAUGCCCAGUGUUUCUUGGAGAAAAAUUGGAACCAAGCCAAAGACUGUUGCGGCCUAAUCAAAUAAACAUGGUUGAGAGAUUUUGGAAUGAUAAUGAGUGUUUUAAUCUCAUCGUCGUCUCUAUUGAGUUCUUCUCUUGCUAGGCACCAGAGCACUUUUCAGAACUAUACCCAUAGAGAGGAGUUGUAAUCUAGGGGUUUAUGGGCAUAUGCGAUUCCCUGCCCCUAUAGCAUCUGUCUUAUGGUCAAGGUCGAAUAGCUGUAUCAGAUCCCAGUCUCCGAACUUGUAAGAUUUUGAGAUUUACGGAGGUGCCGUCUGUUUAUUUAUUUUUAUCAUAUGGAGUGAUUAACUUUGUAUAAUGGAUGCAAGCAUGGAGAUGGAUUUCAAAAUGGAUUGCAUUACAACGGAUUUUGUGAUUGAUCCCUAUCGAACCGCAAAUGAAAAUAAUGAAAUUGAAGAACAUUGGUCAAGUUGUCAGUUUCCAGCUUUGAUCUUAUUAUUGUAAUUCAAUUUUGCUAGUAACUUCUAAAAGGUUUGAAACAAGUUGUUCUACCGAGAUACGCUGCCAAAGAGGGGUUAAAAAAAUAAUAAGGGAAAUAAAAGAGAUGCAUCAGCCGUUUUCUAGUAGAAAUGAUAAGGGAAAUAACUGUGAAUAGAUUAAUCGUAUUUAUUGAUUUUAGUCUAGGCAAGUCUAAAAAAUUGACUCCAACUCCCACCGAACAGCUGAAUUUGAUAUCUUAUAUCAUUUCAUAACAAGUAGUCCCAAGGCAAAAAGACUUGAAAGUUAAGCCUUGGAAUCUGUUAUUGCUGCAACCGAGUGUUGUCACAUUCGCGAAUCAAUUGUACCAUCAGCUCUUUUACUUGUUGGUCCGUCUUUCUGAUAGUUUGCCUUUAUAAACUGAAUCACAAGUGAAGCUAAUUCAUCCUGAUGUGAAGUGAAUUCAUGGUCGGCUCCUUCUAUGAUGUGCAGCUUAUGGUUAGGUAUGAACUUAUCGAACUCCAAAGCAUCUUCUGCCGGUACCAUUUUAUCCUUGGUUCCAUGAAUUGUCAACACCCUGUAAAUGAUAGCAAGGACAUUAGGACACAUUGGUGUAAUAAGAGUCGAAAUUACAAUCUCCAAUAAAUAGAAAAAUGAAUACUUCAAAAAACCCUUAGUCGUAUUUUAUACUUUAAAUGCUCUUCCCAAAUGUUCAUUGACAUUAAUUACACGGAGGUCCAAAUUAAUGCUUUAUCUCAGAGGAAAAUAUGCAUCUGUGGAUCAAACAGUUUUAGAUAUCCUAUAACAUGAAAUUUUGCCUUCAUUUUAGGUACUUGAAGAUUAUUUAAUAUUGAUGGUAGGAUAAGAAGGAAACAAAUGCCAAAAAAUGCCACUGGCAGGUAAUAUUAACAUCUGUUCUUGAUUCUUAACUCAAAGUUAUAUAACUUGAUGAGAGAUUAACUAUUUUAAUUUCAAACCGUCUAGGCUGGUUGGAUCAAACUAGCAGAUUAAGACUACUUAAAGUGAUUCCACAAGAUGGCAUAAACAAAAGCGUACAUUAUGAAUCCACUAUAUUGCAAAGGGGCAGAUCCAAGAAAUCUUAUUCAUUCUAAACAUCAGUACAGAAAAAAUUGACUCUAUCCUGACUCUAUCUUAUUCAUAGAAACUGUACAUCAUAUAAGAUUCAGAAUACUGUCCCGAACUUCCUCUUAAAUGUUAAUUUUCAUCAUUUUGGAUAACAAACUUCCCCCCAAAAAAAGGAAUGUUCGGCAGCAAAUCCCAAAUUGGCAUGCUUGAUUAUGGCCUUCCAUAUCUAAGUUACUUUCCUCACUCUAUUUAAAUUAAAAAGAGAGAAGAACAGUAGGUUUAACAACAGUCCCUCUGCCUUCACACAAAUUGUGAGAUGAAGAAUUUAAAUAAACCAGGUGUAUGUCAAAGCAGAUUAAGAAACUUCACCAUAUCAGACAGAAAUUUUGGCUGGCAUUUUUUACAAGAAACAUAAGCACAGAUUUACAAUCAUGAAAGAUGCAAUCUGUAUGUACCCUAGUACCUGCAGUCUUGGCAAAUCAUACGGCAUGCUGCAUGAAUAUCAGUGGAUAAGCGGUCCAUCAAACUUUCUUCAGUCACACGAUACUCAAGUUUUCCUGACAAGAAGAAGAAAAAAUAUCAGGUCAAUGUACAAUAAAAGUAAUUGUAAGAAUUGCUUGGUAAAUACACAAUCAUUGUAAUCUCAAGACUAUAUGAUCCCCGGUAUUCCAUAAACAAGACUAUUUGAGUUGUAAACUUUAGACUCUAAUGUUGCUUGACCAUACUCCAGAAAGUAUAGAAAAUAAAAUAUUUCAAAGGAGAACCAUACCUGUAGUCAUAUGAAACAAGCAUCAUAUACCUAAUGACAAGUUAGUGCUAUAAUAACAAUUGAUAACUUACCCUUUUUAUUCCUAACAUCAAUGAAUCCGUUCUGCUUGAUUCUCUGUAAAUAUCCUAGUCCCAAGCGACCUUCAAUGCCUCUCUUGAGAUUGAACCGGCCAGAAAUAUUGAUGACUAUACUUAUGUCAUUAUACUUUGAAGCAUACAAAAGCACCGCAUUUCCUCCUGCAGGAACCCUUUUCAGCAAUAUGGCACCAAAAAAGGAAAAAUUAAACAAAUAUUUAUACUUUUCUAAGCCAAGUAGGUCUGAUUGAGAAAACAUAAGUUCCAAAGUCAUAGCUCUAAGCAGAUUUUAUGAGUGCGUCACUGUCCAGCAUAUAUGGACUGAGAAAACUGUUUUUGCAACUAUAUAGUAGCAACAAACUUUAAGCAGAAAUUUCUAGUGGCAUCAGCAAAUAGAAUUUGAAAUUUGUGGAUCAUUAGCAUGAUAACAAUGUUCCAUUUACCAGUUUAUUCAAUCUAUGAUUACUCAAACAUGGACCUAUAUAUGUUGUGAGGUGUAUCAAGAUGAAAACAAUAUUUAUGGGUGUGAUUUCUGAAUUGAGCCUAACAAGCAACUUUAAAGACCUUUGCUGUGUCCAAUAAUUGCAGUUAUUACACGCCCCUUCGUACGGAAGUCUUGGACUAUGGCACGCAAAUCCUCAGCUUCUUUGCGGUAGUUACCAUACAGAAAUGACCCUUCACUUUCUCUACAAAACAACUUACAAGCAACUGCUUAUCAUUAUUAGAAGAAUGUGUUUAGAAAGAAAUUACAUCAAAGUCUAACAUUUGUUAUUUGAUAAGUCCAAAUUAUACUGGCUAAGAAAUCUUGCAUGAGUUACAUGCUUAUAUGUGAAUCCCAAUUUGCUGGUAGCAGGGGGAGAUACUGGACAUGUGUGAUUUGAGGUUGGUGUAAAGUAAUUCAUUUGAAGUUACUGUGUAUGUUCACCUCAACUUUAAAUCCCUGAAAUGAAGACAAUAAGAAGAGGCCACUAAAGCCCCUUAAAUGGCCAGUUAAAACACACCCUUAAUAUGCAUCAGCGCUAUAAAUCUAAUCAGGAAAAACAUAACACUGGCCAUAAAACACCGGACUUGGAACACUGCUAGUGACAAUACAAACUUGUUGAGCCUCCCAAGUUAGCAGAAAAUGCAGCAUUAUAUUCAACAGCAAUGAGAGCAGUAUGAACUAAGUGCUUCAAGAAACUAAUGAUAAAGUAACAAAGGUCUGGCAGCUUCACAUGCUCUCGAGCAAUUUUGGCAUUGUAUGCUGAUGAUGCCCAACGUUGAAAAUUUCUCAAUGGAAAUUCAAUAGACAGUAAAAAUAUAAAUGGAAUUUAAAAAGAAAAGGCCGAUGAAAUUACUAGGGAGAGUUCACAUCACUAAGCAAGGUUUAAUAUAUCCACAAGCAAACCCUUAGAAAUUAAAGGCCCAGUGGGUUGCAACUGAAAAUUGUUUUCUGCCAAGACGAAGUUCACUCAGUUGAUGUUUAAUUGCUUUUACUGUAAUCAUCCUACCCAUUCCCAGAAAAGUCGAAGCGGAAGGCACUGAUUCCUUCUCUUUCCAAAGCAGCAGCAAGGUUCACCAUGGGGAUUCGAUCCUACAGACAAAACAUCACGUUUAGAAAACCAACCUCAAUUUCAGAACUGCUAGCUAACACUUCUAACUAUGUUAAUAAAUUGAAGCCCACAAUUUGUCCUAAGAUGCGUGAACACUUCAGAAGCAAACUCACAUUUUGGAAUACAAACUCAGAAUUUACCAAAUUGGACUAGUAAUAAAUUUUUUCAAAUAAUAGUAGAAUAAUAUGAAGCAUAUGACUUUUCAGAACGACUAACCUUUGUGGAUUGAAAUCCAUGGCACACGAUAACAAGCUGCUUUGAACCAGUUUCAUGUAAUAUCCCCACAAGCUUCUCACCGCGGCUGUUGGGAAUUACGACUCUGCGCCGCUCAACCACUAUAGGAGAGAUUGAAUAUUUUAGAGAUUUUUUUAUAAUUAAAACACAUACACAUGCACUACAUCUAUGCAAAAACCUUAAAAUUUAGAAGCAAUUUUAAAUUUUCAGCAAUAUAAUCUUUUCUUUAACCAGAUUGUUUGUUUUUGAUAUUUGAUAUGAACGAAGAGGCCGCGUCACUCACCUGGGUCCUGCUGGACACCUUGCCGAUAACUCUGAGUCGGCCGAGUCACGGACAUGGUGUGAAAUGACGAAUUGCCUGUGAUGCCUUCGCCUGAUUAAGGAGAAACGUUGAAGAUUGAUGGCCCAAAUACAUGCGAUCAUACGACAAAGAGUGAAACACAAACACGUCCGUCAUUCAGUUAUGUUCGGUUAAAAGUUCCCGUCAUAUUAUUAUUAUUUGUCAGCAAUUUUGUUUUGUUUUUAACCUUUCAAGUACAAUUUUUUUCAAAAUAAAAUCUUUCUUUUGCAAAAUAUUUUGGGUUGAUUUCACCACACCUCCUAAAUUUUUUUAUAGAUUUUAAAGUUUACAUUAUCGUUUUGCCUUCAUGUGGCUAUUAAAUUGUAUCCUUAAUUCAGUUGAAAAAUGGUACACAUUUCACUAAUGAAUCUCACAUAAAUUCACUUGAAUACACACACACACACAUUAUGCACCCACGAGCCUCAAAUGAGAUUUAUUGAUGAGAUAUGGACCAAAAGUCAGUUAGUUAACUACGAAACUAAUCGUACUUUUAAGGAGAUACCGUUAAAAAUUUAAUUAGCUUCGAGAAUCGAGUCUUUGAUAGACAGUUUGGGGAGUAAAGCUAACACAUGUUUUUGACUUUUGAGAACGUUAUUGGUUUUUUUUUUUUUUUUUAUGGAUCCUAUUAUUAUUAUAGUGAAAAAAUAAAAAUUGUAGUCCAAUGUGACAUUACGAUCAUACGAUGAUACAUGAGUUAUUUUUUUUUCUUUUUCUUUUUUUUUUUAAUAAGAUAAAUUAAAGCCUUACUUGGUUGUGUCGUUAAAUGAUUAUAAGUUAAAAAUUAUAAUAUUAGAAGCAUUUAGUAAACACUUACCAUCAUUAUUUAAUUUUUUUUUGAAAGAAAGUAUAUCUUUCAUUAAAGACCAAUAAUGAGCCACAUGAGCACAAAUACAUAAUAUUAUGUCACAUGAGCAUAAAUACACGAUAACUAAACUUAAGUAUAAGACAAUUCCUAACAUACAUUUAAUGUAUGUUACUGCAUUCACAUGAACAAUGAGUGGACCCCACACCACUCAUUGUUUAUGUGAGUGGUUGUAAAUGUAUGUUAGAGGGAUCCUAAGUAUAAUAUAGAAGAUAAAAGACUCAAGCCUAGGCUAGGACAAUUCCUAACAACAACUAUAAUUACAAACCGAAAAGAGAAUAAGAAUUUCACCUAUUAAAAUUAAUUAAAAUCAGCUAGAAUUUAUAUAUUGCUGCCAACCUCAACUAAUGCAAAUGAAAUCUCUUUCCAAUCAGAGAAGGAAAAUAAUAACAUAAAAAUAACACAAUAUGCCAUAAUACAAUACUAAUUAAAAACGCAACAAAAAACCACAAAUCUCAACAACAUGACCACCCCAUCAACAGAAUGGAUAAAGAUCCUCUCUUAAUAUGAGUUCCAUGAGCUUUUAAAGAUCUUAUACUAUGUGUCUUCAAGUGAUAGUGUAUGAAUAUGAUUAAAUUUCUUCAUUUUCUUUAUUUAUUAACUACCAAUCACCCACAUGUAUUUUUACUCGGAAAGAGAUUAGAUCAUGAAAGAAUUCUAAUCCCAACAGAAUCCCCAACAAAUCUCGAUGAGUUCUCAAUCCAUACCUUUAAACCUGCACCAAGUCAUCAUAAUAUCGAUGCAUCACUAUUAGAGGCAUUCCUCAACUCCAAUAAAGGCGUAUCCUCCUAAUUCAAACAUUGACAUGAUUUCAAUCCGAACUCUUAGUUGACACCAUCUAGAACCAUGCCACAUCUCAAGAUGAGCAUAUAAACAACAUCCAAAAAACAAGAAGAACACCAACCACCAUAAAGAAAAGAAAAUAAAAUAGAAAAACUAGAAAAAUUAAAACAUAAAAGUAAAUAGGAGUCUGAAAAUAAAAUAAAAAUAAAAAUAAAAAGAUUGGCAGGAGAGAGAAAAUCCCUCUCCACCUAGAGAAACACCCUUUUUGUUGGCAGCUGUGAGCUAUGGUUUGGUGGUCUGGUGACAAAGGACCGGUCACAGCUAGAGCGGUGGUGGUGACAGUGAACUCUGAUGGCAGCAAACGCUAGCUUUGUGACGUCAUGUCACCGGCGUGAACCAACAAGAUGAAGUUAACGGCCGAUCAACUACUUGAAAUGUUGGUCAGCGAUUUUUUUAGGAUUUAGUGUAAAAACUUGAAAGGAUGAGUCUAGAUCUAGAUCCAUGAUUGUUAUAUAUUUAGUAUAUAACAAUCCUACCAUUUAAAAGUUAGAUUAACUUAUAUAAUAAAAAAUCUAUAAUAUCUUAAUCAUUUAUGUCAUAAUUUUGUUUAAAAUUAAUAUUUACAAUACCAUAACCAUAACUCUUAAUUUUUAUUUUUAAAACACAACACUUUAAUGCCAAAGGAAGCCUAAGAUUCCCUUCUAGUUAUUUCAAAUUAACCAUAGAAACCCUCGGUAUUAGCACACACUGAGGAUGAAAAUUAACCAAGAAUGUACUGUGACUUGGUGACAUCUCCAUGUUCAAAUUUACCUAAAUUCUUCCAAUUGACGGGUAUUUGAAUUUGCUUCUAGUACAAAAUUACAAAAGCUUAAGUCGAAAAGCAAGGCUCACAAAUUAAUCAAAUGAAAACAAGAACCUUCCAUCUUAAUUUCGGAGAAGCAAAAUUUGAUCUCAACAUUAUCCAGGAGCAGCAAAAUUUAAGUCGAACAUUAUUCUCCACUGUAUAAAACAGUUGAAGGUGACGGAAUGAUUUUAAAAAGGAAAGAGAGAGAGAAAGAGGGAGGGAGAGCAUACACAUCCCAGUGCGCUUAAAAUUGCAGCUACAAUUGACAGCGCGAUUCUACUGCCGGUAAAUUCUUCUAUAACUUCUGUUCAAAUUUGUGAUACAUAAACAGUCUAGCAGCAAUCAUACUACAGUUCUCGGAAAACAGGCCUGUGAUUAACUAAAUUAUGCACAAUCAAUUCAAUUUAUAACCAUGCAGGAGGUCUUACCAACCUCUCUAAGGUUAUGAUCCCACAGGAGCAAUUCCUUUGGCUUGAGCUGCAGCCUUUGCAGCUGCGGCAGCAGCAGCUGCUGCAGCAGCAGCAGAUGCAGCUGGAUUGGGUGUUGAUGGUGGAGGCACCGGGUUUGAUUGUGAAUUGUUUUGUGAUUGAACCAUCUGCUGAUGUUGCUGCUGCUGCUGAGAGUUGACUUGGGCGAGUAGAGCCUUGAUCUGACUUCCUGAAAGAGUCUCAUGCUCAAGCAAAGCAUUAGCAAGUGCAUGGAGCUCCUUGCUAUGCAUAGUGAGAAUAGUUUUUGCAUUGUUGUAAGCCCUAUCCAGAAAGUUCCUAACUUCUUUCUCAAUAAGCAGCCUAGUCUCAGUGCUCAUGCUCUUCCCAUUGUCAUCAUAAUUGUGAGUGACAACCCCAACCUCUUUGCUCAUGCCAUACUUUGUAACCAUUGCUCUAGCUAGCUUAGUGGCUUGUUGAAGAUCAGAGGAUGCACCAGAAGUAACUUCAUUUUCUCCAAAGAUAAGCUCUUCUGCGACCCUUCCACCCAUGCAAACAUCAAGCCUGGCAAGCAUCUGCUUCCGUGAGAUGCUCGUUUCAUCCUUGUCUGGCAAUUGAGCAACCAUGCCUAAAGACAUCCCACGGGGAACAAUUGUUGCUUUGUGAACUGGAAGAGCCCCAUCAGUAUGGACAGCCACAAGGGCAUGCCCACCCUCAUGGAAAGCCGUCAGCUUUCUUGACUCAUCAGAAAUCACAGCUGACUUGCGUUCACUUCCCAUCAUAAUCUUGUCCUUUGCAUACUCCAGAUCAGCCAUUGUCACAGCUUUGGCACCGUCCAUUGCUGCCUUGAGUGCAGCGAUGUUGACUAGGUUUGCAAGAUCCGCACCAGAGAACCCGGGAGUCCCUCUAGCAAUGAUCAUCAGAUCAACAUCAUCUGCCUUCAACACCUGUAAUUGCACCACAAUCAAUGGUAAUGCAUGGGUAUUGGUAUAUGAUUAUUCCUAUUGUGUCACAUAAAUCUAAUAUAAAAAUCUUACAAAAGCCAAUGUUGACAUACAUAGUGCAUCAACUAAAGGACUAGGUAAUGAUGAUGAUGGUAAUGGUUUAAUUGUAUACCGACAAGAAAUAUAAGAACAAAGAGAUAUGAAUUAGACAGGCUUAAGUCAGGCUCAUCAAGUAGACAUUUCCCACUGAAGAAUAACAAAAGACCACGACAGCGAUUGUUUAGCCUUUGCCAAUUCAACCUCAGACUUCGAUUCUAAACAAGGAGUAAGCAAUACCUUCGACAUGUGGGAUUCCAUGAUCUGCCGCCGCCCUUCUACAUCUGGAUUUGGAACAACAAUGUGGCGGUCAAAUCGUCCAGGUCGCACCAGUGCCUUGUCUAAUGACUCUGGGAAAUUAGUAGCAGCAAUCACAAUUAUUCCUUCAUUUUGCUUGAAACCAUCCAGCUCGACUAACAGCUGAUUCAAAGUCAUCUUCAUGUAUUGUUGGUCUUUAGGGUUUCGGCUUCCUCCAAUGGCAUCUAUCUCAUCAAUAAAUAUUAUACACGGAGAUCGCUUCUUUGCAGCAGAAAAAAGAUCUCUUACUCUCCGGGCUCCAACUCCAACAAACAUCUCUUCAAACUCACUGCCGCUGCAAGAGAAGAAAGGAACACCAGCUUCUCCAGCAAUAGCUCUUGCCAACAUAGUUUUGCCAGUGCCAGGUGGGCCAACAAGCAAAACACCUUUUGGAAGCUUCCCACCUAAACGAGUGAAGCGCUGUAACAAGAAAAGCCAAAUACCCAGGAAUCAAAAUUAAUAUUCCAUUAGGUGGUUAAGGAACAUAAAUUCAAAGGAAAGAAAAAGCCAUAAGUAACGGGCCAUUCAACUAGUAUCAGCAUUAAUGAAGAUCUAUGGCUGCCAACAAUUCUUGAUCCCUGAUAUCAAAGAACAUUCCACUCUCAAAUCACAACCUUUUACAGACUUGAAUCUUAGUGCAUGAUGUUAAACCACUCUGUGCAUUGAAACUGCUAUUAUACACAGGUGUUUGUGAACAGGAUUUUAUGCCAUCAUCUGCCAAGAAGGAACAAUCCAGGUUGGACAAUGUCAUCAAGAAGAUAUUGUCCUUAUCCAGCCUCUUACAAAGAGAACUAAUGUGUUCUCAACAAACAGAAAUUCUCUUUUUUUUUAAAAGACAGCUGGUAUGUAAAAAAGGAAUGACUUUACUUCCCUAAACAAAAUUUCCACCUUCCAAGGUAAGGGUAUUAAUUUUAGAAUUACUAAAACCACCAAAAAUGAGGAACAUGCCCAACUUAGCACAUAGAAACAGCGUCAAUGUUCAAUUGAAACUAACAAUAAAUGCAAAUUAAAAAAAUAAAUUGAUUCACGAUGUUUCAGACAUCAGUUCGCUCAUUGCUUACAAAUUGAAAUGAAAAGAUAAAAUAGCAGAGCAAUAAUUACAUAAUCAUCUGGUCAGAUGGAAAACCAUCAAGCAAACCAAAUAAACUCAUCAUUGAUGUCUCAAGAUAUAGAUAUCUAGUAACUACAUGCACACAAGAGCUUAGUUACACAUAGUUUGGUACUGAAAAGCAGAGAGCAGGAACAUAACUACGGGUCAUAUUAGUCUAAGAGUAUCUCAUGACAGAAGCUAUUAGGUGAAAGCCAAAGCAAUGAAGCUUUCAAAAUUGGUUCUUUAUUCCCCAAUUCGGAAUGAAAUGUAAAUAUUUGUGGAGGAGAUAUUCAGGCAAUUUAUAGAGAAAAUUAUAUACUUCAUAGAAAGGAAAGAUUACAUAUCUCUCCUAUAUUUGAUGCAUCUUUUGGGUGUAUAGCCCAGAACAGGAGAUUUCACAGGUGGCACACACAUUUAAAACCAGUAUCCAUGUGACAAAAAUGCACACAGAAAGCUAACAAGAAGAUAAAGAGAGAUAGAAGUGCACAUGCACAGGUCAUUAUCAAGCAUUUACUUUUGGAUCUCGAAGGUAGUGGACAAUCUCUUCAAGCUCUUGUUUUGCCUCAUCAACACCUUUCACAUCACUGAAUUUUGUGUUAGAUUCCAAGCUAGGUUGCACCUCUUCAUGCAAACCAAGUCCUGAAAAAUAAAAAAUAUAUAUAUGUAGAAGGUUUCACAACAAUAAAAUUUGUAUCAGGAGGAAAUUACGGACACACUUAAAAAGCAUUAGGAUAUAAUUAUACCUUUGCUGAUUCCCCUAUCCUCAAUAAGUGCUCCUACACCAGAAAUCAACAGAAAGCCCAGUGCAAUAGUGCGAAUUGUACGCCACAGUUGCUCUUUAAAGUGCCCUCCUUCGGCUGCCACCAUGUGGAUAGGUGCACUGGCAGUUCCAAGCACGCCAUCUUUUGUUGGUUUGCUGACAUUCUUAAAAGCUGAAAUGCCUCCUAUACUUUCUUCGUCCCUAACCAAGUUGGCGAUACCUGUAAGUUUCAUAGAAGACUCUUGCUUACUAUAUCAAAAAUUAUGCUUGACAGACAUUUCUGACAAAGUAUAUGUGCUCCAAAAUCCAAACAAAUAAAUUCCGCAAUGGAUUCAGAUUAUAAAUCUCUGCCUUAUUUGCUGAUUUUCCAGUUUCAGUAUGACCAUCUUUGAAUUCCAUGACCACAAUUUGCAACACUUUUAGAAUUAUAUACACCCACCUUUUUGUAAUGUCUUGAGCAGCUCACUAUCAUCUAGACGGUCAACUUUCACUAAUGCUUUAACGUAUUCAGAGAGUGCUGACUGGUUAGAAUGUAAUGAUGGUUGGCUUUCAAAAAGUCUAAUCACUGCCUCAGGAUCAUUUCGGCGGUAAAGUUCUCGGAGAUGGGCAACCUCGCUGGCUUCAUCAGCAUCACGUACUCUGCGAGCCAAACUACCAACGUAGUUUGACUGAAACCUCCUUUGUGUGUUGGAAAACCCAUUCCCUAAAGAAAAGAAAAAGGAAAACAUUAGCACAUGACAGUGAUAAACAGAGAAGAAAGCUCUCUCUUUUGUUAUACAUCCUCCCAAAAGGGCAAAAAGUUAUUCAGAUGGAAAACUAGCUCAACUCAUAAAGGCUAAGCAAGUACUUUUUUAUUAUGCAGUGAAAGCAUAGUAAUGCAAAGUUGUUGUUUGAAAAUUCCUAAAUCAUUUCACUUGACCUGAAAUAAAGUUACAUACUCUUUAACUCUUAAGAGACUAUCAGCAGCUCCUUCAAGAUAAAUAUCAUUAGUAGUUCUAAAACCAAAGGACGUAGAUAUAAAUGCGCAACUUCAGAGUGCACAGAAUGCAUACCUCCGGUACCUCCAAGUUUGUUCAGUUGAAAAUAAGUCCUAACAAACAAAUUUUUGACCGGCACCAACUCUGUUCGGUGCCUUGAAACCUAUUGAAGCAAAACACAGAGUUUUAGUACUAAAGAGUAAAAGGAGAAUUGAGAAAGGAUAAAUCCUAUGCCAUACAAAAGAAUGAGAUUUGACAAUUUAAACUGAUAAUAAAAGAAGUUGGUACACCCAAAACCAACCACGAAGACUUUGAUGCCAAAAGAUUCUUCCUUUAUACUCAUGUGAGAACGUGUACUAAUAUAAGCAUGCAUUAUUUAGAAACAAGAGCUAAAGAACCUAUAGUGAUACUACCAGUACAGCAACUAAAGGCAGGGACAUUUCAAAUGUGAUGAACACAUAAUACAAAGAAAACAAAUAAUAAGAAUUAAGCAAUAGUUUCUAAAUUUUCUUCAUGAUCUGCAAAUCGAGGGGAAAAAAAUAGCCCUGUCCUCUUUUACUCCUUUCAAAUCUUCCACACUCCCAAAAUAAUCAACGAACAUAAGGAGAAAAAACAAUACUGCAAAAACUGGCUUUGCAACAAAACUAGGAACAGGGAUAACUUUCAAGACACCAGCUUCACAAUGUGGUUAUUCAAUGAAGAUUCAGUUCACGACAAUAUUUGCCCAUGAACAGACUAAUUCAAAACAUACACAUAAAAAAUUCUUGUAAACAAGAUCCAGUGAUGUGUCUCUCAUUCCCUCUCUCCUGGUGUCUAAAAUGCAAUGAAUCAAUGGUUCAAAACACAGCUUUAGCUUCAUUCCCUACCUUAACACAACUAUAAUUUUGAGUACAGCUAUAGUUUUGACUAAAUAAUGAAAAUUAUCAGAAUCAACAUUAACCAAAGCUGAAAUUGUAAAUUGGGUUUUCUGUAGCCAACCUAAACUAAAGCCUCGCUAAAAUUAAAACUAGGGUUAUUGCAGACCCAAAACAAGCUAACUUUCUAUAUAUGUCGAGAAUAUGAAGGAACGCAGCAUAUGUAAAAAAAAUUAUUAAUCAAUAAAUCGUGUGAAGAAAUGCAACUGACCUCUGUGAUUAGGCGCCUCCAAGCCAUAGCCUCUUCAGAGACUCACAAAUUUUUUUUUUUUUUAAAAAAGUCUGAUUUUUUUUUAAUCCAAAAACACUCUCUCCUAAUCUUUGUUUAUCUUCUACAAAAUACAAUAAUAUAUUGUGAUGUAUGGUCUCUUUUGAGGCGCGUUUGGUUAGCGAGAAAACGCAGGAAAAUACGUGAGAGAGAGAGAGGUGUACACAGGGGUUCGGAUGGGGAGAGCGUGUUAAAAAUACAGGAACACGUGGUAUUUAAAUGUCGAUACUGCCCUCGGUACUAAUAUGUAUGGGCUCGUAUGGUCCAAUCUGUUUGAAGAUCCAACUUAUUUUUAAGGAAACCAAAAAAAUGAUUAAAAAAAUUAAAAUUAAAAACCGACGCGGGGACACCAGUUAACGGAGACUUCACUUAAAAAAAUAAUAAAAAUAAAUAAAUAAUCUGAGUCUUUAUAUCUUUGACAGAUACUGCUGGUCUAUCUUUGGGAAAAAUGUUUGACUUUUGAUACAUACGUUAGGCCCAAAUUUUAUGAGCCCAACAACUGCUGUAAGCGUACAUGGACGUACAAAUGAGGCUCAGUCCACAAACGCGGCCGGGGAAAAUAUUUUUGAUUAGCACUAUUGGCACUACUCAAUAAUCUCGUAGAAACCCCUUUUCGGCUUUUACAAUUUUAACCACACUGGAAGUUACAAAUAAAAAUCUAAUGAAACUCUUGCAUGGAUCCUGCACAAUUUCGCGUUGGAAUUUGGAUAAAAAAAACUUAUCUUCUCAGCAACCAUUGAAAAUAAUAGAGAAAAGGCUUGAAUUAAUAAACAAUUGAUUAUAUAUGUUCAAAAAUUCUUACUAUUAUUUUCUAGUCUACCUCAAGAUUGUAAAUUGUUUAGUCAAAUUUGAUGAGUUAUUUUUUUUUUAAUAUUCAUAAAUACAUCUAUCUCUUUCGAAACUCUAUAAAUCACCAUGUCGUAUAUUAUUUCUUUUCUUCUUUUUUUUUUUUAAUUUGAUGCUUCAUUGACGCAUGCAAUUUGGAGCAUCCAUGGAACUUUUCUGUUUCAGGUAUUCUAAAAAUAAGAAAUUUGUACGAAAAAGAAAUCUCCUCAUGACAAAGAUAUCAUCAUUUUUGCUUCUAGGUGGAGGUUCCUUAUUUUGCUAAAGUUUCUCCACUCCUCUUUGUAUUGGAAAAUACGAUUUCCUACAUAUACAAAUGGAUUAUUUUGCUAAAAUUCUUUAUAUUGUCUUCUAAUUUAUCAAACCCCACCUCUUUUUGAGGCAAAUUCAGGCUUUAAAAUAGAUUAUCAGAUUUAUAUAGACUUUUUCUUCUUCUUCUUCUUCUUUUUUUAAUAGUGAUCAAGGGUAUUGAGUGGAUCGAAGGUGAUGUUUUAAGAAGCAAAGUCAGUUUUGAAAUUAUUAUAUUGGGUAUAUUUAUAGAAGGGGUUAUGACUUAUGAGAGAAUUAUUGAGGGUGCCAAUAGCACCAUUCAAAACUUUAAACAAGCUCAUUUUAGUCACAUAACAAUUCGCAAUAAAAUAACCCAUUUUUAUGGUUAUUUUUGUCUAUCUUUUGUUUCCUCAGUGCUUUCCUUUCUCAAUUCAAAGGUAAGCAUUUCACUAUUACGAACUCUAUACCAACUUCGCAAUACAAGCGGGAGGUAAUUAAAUUAAAACAAUUUAUAGUAUCACUUAUAAGUGUUUAUAAUUAUGGAAACAGAUUUUGUAUUCAUUCGAUGUAGGUUUAUGCUCAACUUCAUGCAAAUUCUACGACUAUAUUAUGUGAACGUAGGGUAGAUCUCACCUUUAUAAUAAUAUACCCCUGAGACAUGCUCAAUAGAUCCCAAGCUAUGUUAUAAUUUUCCAAACAAAAAAAAAAAUCGGAAUUUCAGAAAAGGUCAACAAAGUUAACUCACAUAAUCGCAUUUUUAUAUUCGCCUCUUUGAUUGAUAUCUUAUCACAAAAUCACAGACCACGUCAAUAGAAAUUGAUUUUUUUUUUUUUUUGAAUCAUGUACCCGUUACCUUUGACCUCACCGAAUUGAAAUUGAUUUAUCUAUAUAUUUUAGAAGGAAAAGUCUAAGGCAAAUUAGCUAAUUAAGAAAGAAGAUUGACCGAGUUUCAACUUGAAAGAAUAAAUGAAUAGGCUUGAUCCUCCUCCUCGGGAUUUAGAACAUUAGCAGCAAUUAAGGUGUCAAAAAGCAUCUACUUUUUAUUUUUAUUUUUUUUUUUGUUUUUACCACGAGGUAUCUUGGGAAGGACCCCAAUUGUGGGAGGCAUCUUUAAGCUCGUACCAUAACUCAGACUAGAAGUCCCCGCUUGAACCGAGAGGCACAGAUUCUCCCAACAAAGGCGACUUUCCUGUGACUUAAACGGAGAAACAAACCCAAUCAAACCACUUAAAGAGACUCUAUUACCACCAUUUUGUUUUAGCAUCUACUUUUUAUUACGACUACAAAACAGCAUCCAAAAACCACGAAACAGUGACGUCUGUGCACUGCAGCACCAGUCCCCGAAUCUGUCUCAAUUAGUCGGCAGCGUAUGUCCAAAGGACCAACCCCCCCAAUCCAUCAAUAAUCAUGCAUCACAUCAAACUUUAAAUGUGAAAAAAUAAAAAAAAAUGUUCGAGAUAUUGUGUUAGUGUUACAGUCUAGUACUAGACUUUCGAAUAGAAAUUUCAGUGAGACACCUAUUGCACAAUGAUUAGAGAUCUAAUUAUGUAUGAGUACACGUACGGGCGUCGAAGUGUGCUCUCCGGGUUAUUAAUUUCAUUGAGAUCUUCAGUUCUGUAAUUAUCAACUUGGAGCUAGGGUUCGACGACCAUUUAAGUAGUCAUGCCAUGAAGGUUACCAUUGAAUUAAGAUUUUUGCAAAGUACAAGUGGAUGUUACUCAAUCAAGAAUUGUUAAUUUAGACCGACCUAAUUUUGUCUCUUAAUAGCGUCAUUUGUUAUUUUGGUUUCACAGUUUUGAAGUCAUAAUUCCUGUGAAAUGUAAGACAAUGUAUAGGUGUUUCCGUUUGUUGUCUAAUGACAAUUAAAAUCGGGCAGUUUGUAAGUUUUCCUCUGCUUAAAUCAAAAUAUACUAGUUAUUCUUCUAUUAUUUUCAUAAUAUCCUUACAAAAAAAAAAUUAAGGAAAAGACGGAUAAAUGGGUCAUUUGCUUGAUAUAUCAUCUUGCGAAUAUAAAAUAUAUGUUGAUUAUAAAAAAAAAGUUUAGAAAUAACAAAAAAUAAAAGAAAAAUAUAUUAUUAUCAAUUUUUUUAUUCAACUGAGGACCAAUAUUUUUAUUUUUAUUUUUAUUUUUAAUAUUUAAUAUUUUUAUUUUUAAUUUAAUUUAUAUGAUUUAUUCAAUUCAUAAAAAAAAUAUGAAUAAAAUUGCAUUUGAAAUCAAGGGUGAUACUAUAAAAUUGUGGUAUCAAGGAAGUUAUUGGAUAUUAUAAAAACAUUAAGGAAACAAGUGGUAUAUAUUGAUUUCUAUAAAGGGAAGACUGACAGUGUCCCUUAAAAUAGGGUCUAAUGCAAAUGGUAUAUCAUGCUAUGCAUCCACCAUCAAUUUUUUUUCAUCAAAUAAGUAUAGAUAAAUUAUAGUUUUAAGAUCACAAUGCAUGAUCCUUUCAAUUAAUAAACUCUCCAAUGUUUAGGGAUGGCAAAAUUACCUGCCAACCCCCAAACCUGCCCGUUGCGGGUAAUUUUGCAGGUUGUAGGUGAGUUUGGUAUUGAGAAAAAAUUCAUCGGAUACUCAAGCAUGUAUCAGUCAACCCGCAUUCUUUAUUUUAAUUAUAUACAUUUUUAAUUUUAAUCAUAAAAAAUAUAUUUAAAAAAUUUAAUCAUAAAUAUGUGUAAGUUAAAGUUUUUAAGCCCCCCCCCCACACACACACACACACACACACAAGCUUUAAUAACUAGAAAUUUUAUAAUUUUCAAGUCUAAUAUUACUGAUAUUUUAUUUUAAUUGAUCGAUUUUUUUGUUUUACUUUAAUGACUGGAAUCAAAUGAUUGGUCACUAAAGUUGGGUUAUUUAUUUGUUUAAUUAAUUGUUAACAAUAGUUGUACAAAAUUUACUUGUUAGUAUUGUUAAUAAUACUUGUAUAUUGAUCAAAAUAUGUAGCAAGGCAUUGAUAUUAGUGAUGAUGAUUUGCUUAUAACAGAAAUAUUUUAUGUUAAAUUAAUGUAUUUUGUGUAUUUGUUUUAAUGUUGAAAAUUUAAUUUCUUAUUCCCAUUGAUAAAAUCUAAAAUUGAGUAAAAUCUAAAAUUGAGUAUUAUAUGUAGAUUUUUUAGGCUAUUAUUAUAAAUUUAUAGUUUGAAUUAUAUAAUUUUAUUUGUAUAUAUUAUUAAAGUAUUUUUUAAUAUUCGUGAUUUUAAAUGAUAAGGCCCGUCUACGGACAAAAGAGAAUUUCACUUCUCUUUUGUCCGUAGAUCUGCGAAUUUUGCUGCUCAUUCUGUUGCGAGGGCAGGAAAUUCUAUGACAGAUUCUCGAGUGUGGAAUUGUGUUCCACCUCCAUGGUUACUAAACAGUUUGUAAUUUGUUUUGCUUAAUGAAAUUAUUUCUUUCAAAAAAAAAAUGAUAAGGCCCGUAAAAAAAAAUUUACUAUAGGUGGCUGAUGGCUUUGAUAAUUGUUAAAACCUGUAGCGGGUGGAUUUUUAAAAAAAAUAAAAACCUAUUAUGGGUUGCAAGCAGUCUUAGUAAUUUAAAUUUUUUACAUAUGGGGGUUUGGUAAUGGCAAAUCCGCACUGAGUGGUGCCCAUUUGCCAUCCCCAUAUGAUGUUCAAUUACUAUCUAUUAUCAUCAAGUCAAACUCAAAAUGCAUUAAUCAAAAUAAACAGAAUAGCAUAUUUUGGUUCCAUUAUACUUGCUGAUUAAUUUUUUUAAUCGAAGAUGAACAGUUGAUGAUGAAUUACAACAAAAUUAACUAUAUGUGAAGCAAAAUGACAGAAACUGAACAAUUAUACGAAUUUAACCCAAGGAAACACGGUGGAAACUAGAAAGCACCAUUAAGUAUCCGCACAUAUUUAAAAUGCCACAGCAGGAUUUUUCUUUUCUCUCUGUAGCUGUCUUUAUAGGGAAAUUUAAUUAAUCAGCUAACCCAUAAGCUAACCUUGCCAAGUUCUUGGGUUCUGAUUCUGCGGUCCAAACGUUGAAGAAGAAGAAGGAUUAAUUUGAUCAAGGCCUGCUAUAUUGACAAAAUCUCUAUGACUAUGAGGAAAUGUUUUGAGUCCCAAAAAAUCUCUUGUCAAACCAUCACUCCCUCCAGCGUUGCUACCGCCAGCACCGCCACCAUUAUUGUCUCUAGUUUCAUGAUUAUUUCUGCUAAGUUGGGCAUGGUGAAAAUCGCUGUAUCCUUUUGGAUUCAGUAUCACAUUCAAUGCAUCAUCAAAAGAUGACGAUGACCCAUCAAACCCAUUUGUACAAGAAAAAGAACUCAUCAUCAUAUCAUGCAGAAGAGAUGGAGCUGUCCCAGGGCCUGUUGUAGUAGUUGUAGUACUUGCAGCAAACUGUUCCAUGUAAGCAGGGGUAGCAGCAGCAGCAGCAGCUUUAUUCCCAAAAGAUGACAAGUUAUUAUGAACAAACCCACUUGCCAAGUCUUCACGUGAUGACAAACCCAGACCAGAAGAAGAACCAGCAGCUCCAGCUGUAGAUGCGGAACCAGCAGGCAUGUGAUGAGUUUGGUGGGGUACUGGUACUCUAAGCACGGGUGCAGGUAAUGCAGAUGGCUGUGUGCUCAUAGUCGCCCCCAUUUGCGCUGCUUUUUGCAGAAGUGCUGUUGCAGACGUGUGUUGUGAACCUGUGGUGCCGGGUGGCUCAAAUGGUGCGAACGAAGUAGAAUUAGGGUUAGGGCUAGGGCUAGUGCUUUGGUUUUCGUUGUGAAGUAAAGACCGUGAAAAACUGUUUCCUGAAAAUAACUGUGAAGAGAGAUCAAUUGAAGAAGGGCAAGCUAACCAAGGUGGAAUAUGGUGCUGCUGAUUGUUGUCUUCUAUUUUCACGGCUUGUAGUUGUAGGGCUUGGAGACCUUGGCUUUGGAGCUGAUGAUGAUGAUGGGAAGGGAAAUUGAACAUGUGGGUUGCCGAGGAAUUUGGUUGUUGUUGCGAUGGAGAGAAAAGUGGGUUUACUGUUAUUGUCCUUGCACUCUCUUCAGCUAAAACGUCACAGAAGGCUCUGUGGGUGAUGAAACUGUCCCUUCUGUAACCCAAAAAAAACCAUACCACAAAAGAACAAAAAGAGAACCACAUCAAAAUACAGAAUAAAUUAACAGUGUCCCAAACCGAAAGUAUACUCUCUCUUUCUCUCUCUCACAUGUCAACUUUUUGUAUUUUCAUUCUUUUAAUUUUCUUCUCCAAGCACAAAAGACAGAUAGUAGAUGCAGCCAUUAAACGUUUUCCUAAUAAUCAAAGCCCCUUGCGGUAUGAUCGAUCCAUUAGACAUAUAUUAAAAUUCAUCAAAAAGUUUCAUCUGUCUCUCUUCUUCUUCUCACUCAAGGAUCACGUAAAUAUUAGGGGAAAAAAAUCUUAAAUUUGUUCUUAAAAUGUCAACAUAUAUAAUUUAUUCUUUAUUAUCAUGUUGUGCCUUACCUAGAGAAAAGUUUUCCGCAGUCACAUUUAUACUCUCUUGUGCCACAAAUCUUGGAGUGAGCUUUCCAAUCUGAUUGAACGGCAUAUUUCUUAGAGCACUUUUCACAUUUCCACUUUUUUUCACCAUGCUUUCUGCUAAAGUGCUUCUUAAUCCCAGUGAGGUCCCCAAGAGCCCUUGAUGGAUCAUGAUGAACACAUGUGGGCUCAGGACAGACAUAAACCUUCUUCCUCUCCACUUUGUUUGUUCUUUGCUUUAACUUCCACGGCAGGUUAUGUCCUCUUCUAUGAAGCUGAAGAUUCUGGUCUCUUUGAAACCCCUUGUUACAGAUCUCACAUAAGAAUCUGUUUGUGGCCAUCAAACUUUUGGGAGACAAGGCUAUGACUUCUGCAUCUGGGUCUGAUUCGAACAGUACAAAAUCAAUUAACCCCCAGACUUGAAAAAAAAUGAAAUUAAACAAUGAGAAAUUUAUACCUGGGUUGCCUGGAAGGCUUCUUUUUUUCUUUGAUGGUGGUGUUGCUUCAUUUGUUGAUGAAAAAGAAUGUUGUGCGUAAAAGUUGGUGCCAGUUUCAACUCUUGAACCUGAAGAAGCAGUUACUUCACCAGAAGCUGAAGUCAAAUUUGACAUAUUCUCUUCUACUAGAAGACCUUUCAUCAUCUUCAUCAACUAAUUUAAAUGAGGAUUUGGUGUUUGAGGUGACACAGAAUCACAAGAUUCACUGAUGAUGAGAUGGUAAAAUGGAUCAACUUUUUUAAAUCUCUGACAGGUCGUCCUGAGAUCUAAAAGAAAACCCUAAUUUGGAAAGUAGAUAAGAAAGAUGAUUUCAAGCAGACAAAAACCAUAAGAAAUAAAUGUUACAAAAGGAACAAAUUAAUAACAUUCAAAGCAAAACUUAAACUCACUAGUCAUCAUCUCAUCUCCUCUUUAUUUCAACAAAAUUCUUUGCUGACAUGACACCAAGAAGAUUAAACAAACCCAAUUCUCAUAUUAAUUAAUCAGAAAAUGAAUCAAAAAAAAAAAAAAUGAGAGAGAAACAGAAAGAGAAAGAGAGAGAGAGAGAAAGAGAAAGAGGGAUGAGGAUAUGAGAAGAGAGAUUCCUUUGAAGUCAUCCACUCAUCUAAAAACAAAACAAAACCAAAAGGGUAACAGGGCUUCUUGUUCUGACGUUGCACUUUCUGUCUUUUCCUUUGUUCUCUUCCCAGUACGUCUUUUAUUAAAAAAAAAAAAUUAUUCUGUACUUAAUUUGCUUUUUCAAAUUAUUUUUCUACAGUUUUUAACGCUCUCUGCUGGUAAAUAAAUUCAUGCUUUAGAACAUUACACACCAACCUCAUUAAAAAAUAAAAAAUAAUAAUAAAAAUAAUUAUAGAUGUAAAGAGGCCGAGUAAUUACAGACUUUUUAACAGAGUUAAAAAAGCAAAAUCUCUUUGCUCUCUGUGCACUUACACCACACGAGCAUGAUUGGUUCAGUGAUUGAAUUACAGCAGACAUGCUCAUCGAAAACAGUUCUCUAUUAUUCUUUUCUUUUUACAGUUGUUUAAUCCAUUAAAGUAUCGUUAUAUACACACACACACACACACACAGAACAAUCAACUUACUUCAUUAGAGAAAUCUAAAUCAUCACCUUUCUUUCUUUUUAUGAUUUUCAAAAUUAAUUAAAAAAGUGAAGCAUAUAGAAAAGGUAUAUAUACAUAUAUAUAUAGGUGGUAGGUCGGUCCCCGGUGCUGCCCAACCCAUCAUCACUUGUUUUAUAUGCAUACUGAGAGAGAAAGAAAGAGAGAGAGAGAGAGAAAUUCGUCAAAGCUAUAUCAUUCGAUCCACGAGUAGUUGAAUAAUUUCUUGACGAUCAGUUCAAAGUAAAUGAUAUUAAUUAUAUGUUAAUUUUUACUAUUGAAGAAGAGAAAUGAACUUACAAUCAUUGGCUGCUUGAAUUUUUUAGAAUUUAGGUAAUUCUUUCAGGAAGCACGAAAUUAAAUUUGGAGUUGAGAAAUCUAGCCAGCUUCUUAUCGUCACUUUUAAUAAACU